UACGGAGGGUGCGAGCGUUGUCCGGAUUUAUUGGGUUUAAAGGGUGCGUAGGUGGAUUUUUAAGUCUGGUUUGAAAGCAGGUGGCUCAACCAUCUGAUGUGGCUGGAAACUGGGGAUCUUGAAUGGGUUGGCGGUAGCCGGAACGGGUCAUGUAGCGGUGAAAUGCAUAGAUAUGACCCAGAACACCGAUUGCGAAGGCAGGCUACUAGGACUCGAUUGACACUGAGGCACGAGAGCAUGGGGAGCGAACAGG
rnacentral:rRNA from 1 species